rnacentral:rRNA from 1 species
CAGCAGCCGCGGGAAUACGUAGGUGGCAAGCGUUGUCCGGAAUUAUUGGGCGUAAAGGGCUCGCAGGCGGUUUCUUAAGUCUGAUGUGAAAGCCCCCGGCUCAACCGGGGAGGGUCACUGGAAACUGGGAAACUUGAGUGCAGAAGAGGAGAGUGGAAUUCCACGUGUAGCGGUGAAAUGCGUAGAGAUGUGGAGGAACACCAGUGGCGAAGGCGGCUCUCUGGACUGUAACUGACGCUGAGGCGCGAAAGCGUGGGGAGCAAACAGGAUUAGAUACCCGUGUAGUCCCUGUCUCUUAUAC